rnacentral:rRNA from 1 species
AUUGAACGCUGGCGGCAUGCUUUACACAUGCAAGUCGAACGAGUGGCGCACGGGUGAGUAAUACAUCGGAACGUGUCCUAUCGUGGGGGAUAACUGAUCGAAAGAUCAGCUAAUACCGCAUACGAUUGGAGCGGCCGAUGCCCGAUUAGCUAGUUGGUGAGGUAAAGGCUCACCAAGGCGACGAUCGGUAGCUGGUCUGAGAGGACGACCAGCCACACUGGGACUGAGAUACGGCCCAGACUCCUACGGGAGGCAGCAGUGGGGGAUAUUGCACAAUGGGCGAAAGCCUGAUGCAGCGACGCCGCGUGGGGGAUGAAGGCUUUCGGGUUGUAAAGCUCUGUUAAUCGGGACGCGGUACCGGAAUAGAAAGCCACGGCUAACUACGUGCCAGCAGCCGCGGUAAUAC